rnacentral:rRNA from 1 species
GAUGAACGCUGGCUACAGGCUUAACACAUGCAAGUCGAGGGGAAACGACGGGGAAGCUUGCUUCCCCGGGCGUCGACCGGCGCACGGGUGAGUAACGCGUAUCCAACCUGCCUCUGACUGAGGGAUAACCCGUCGAAAGUCGGCCUAAUACCUCAUGGUAUCGUCUGCGGGCAUCCAACGACGAUUAAAGAUUUCAUCGGUCAGGGAUGGGGAUGCGUCUGAUUAGCUUGUUGGCGGGGUAACGGCCCACCAAGGCUACGAUCAGUAGGGGUUCUGAGAGGGAUGUCCCCCACACUGGUACUGAGAUACGGACCAGACUCCUACGGGAGGCAGCAGUGAGGAAUAUUGGACAAUGGUCGGAAGACUGAUCCAGCCAUGCCGCGUGCAGGAUGAAGGUCCUAUGGAUUGUAAACUGCUUUUGUAAGGGAAGAAUAAGGAGUACGUGUACUUUGAUGACGGUACCUUACGAAUAAGCAUCGGCUAACUCCGUGCCAGCAGCCGCGGUAAUACGGAGGAUGCGAGCGUUAUCCGGAAUCAUUGGGUUUAAAGGGUCCGUAGGCGGGCUGAUAAGUCAGAGGUGAAAGCGCUUAGCUCAACUAAGCAACUGCCUUUGAAACUGUCAGUCUUGAAUGAUUGUGAAGUAGUUGGAAUGUGUAGUGUAGCGGUGAAAUGCUUAGAUAUUACACAGAACACCGAUAGCGAAGGCAUAUUACUAACAAUUUAUUGACGCUGAUGGACGAAAGUGUGGGGAGCGAACAGG